UACGGGGGGGGCAAGCGUUUGUUCGGAAUUACUGGGCGUAAAGGGCGCGUAGGCGGUUCGCUAAGUUGAAUGUGAAAACUCUGGGCUUAACCCAGAGCCUGCAUUCAAUACUGGCGGGCUAGAGUUCUGGAGGGGAUAGCGGAAUUCCUGGUGUAGCGGUGAGAUGCGCAGAUAUCAGGAGGAACACCAAUAGCGAAGGCAGCUCGCUGGGACGGUAUUGACGCUAAGGCGCGAAAGCGUGGGGAGCAAACAGGG
rnacentral:rRNA from 1 species